rnacentral:sRNA from 1 species
GUGUACCACUUGUACACUAAAGGUCCUCCGCGCCGUCCGCACACACCUGGCGACUGCUCGCUACGUUUUGUUAGCC